AUUGACCUCUGGCGGCAGGCCUAACACAUGCACGUCGAGCGGAGCGGCGGACGGGUGAGUAAUGCCUAGGAAUCUGCCUGGUAGUGUGGGAUAACGUCCGGAAACGGGCGCUAAUACCGCAUACUCUCAGAUGAGCCUAGGUCGGAUUAGCUAGUUGGUGGGGUAAAGGCCUACCAAGGCGACGAUCCGUAACUUGGCUGAGAGGAUGAUCAGUCAAACUGGAACUGAGACAAGGUCCAGACUACUACGGGAGGCAGCAGUGGGGAAUAUUGGAUAAGGGGCGAAAGCCUGAUCCAGCCAUGCCGCGUGUGUGAAGAAGGUCUUCGGAAUGUAAAGAACUUUAAGUUGGGAGGCGUUACCAACAGAAUAAGCAUCGGCUAACUUCGUGCCAGCAGCCGCGGUAAUUC
rnacentral:rRNA from 1 species